GCCGGUGACUUUAGUGACAGUGUUCACCUGAUCCCAUCCCGAACUCAGUAGUUAAGCCUGUCACGCCGAUGAUACUGCCACUGCGGGAAAGUAGGUCAUUGCCGGCU
rnacentral:rRNA from 2 species